CAGCACUCAGAAUUAAGUCCAGCUCGUCCCUGAGGCCUCCAGGGCCCUGAGGCACUUCCUGCUACAGCUCCUGGACCAUCCGCCUAAAGCAGCAGACCCCAUCCCCACCUCCCCUCUGAGCGCUUAGCACAGGAGCCGGUCGUCCAGUGGGGGAGCUGGGUCGCAGAUGCUGACAACUCAGGGUGAUCCUCCACGUGCCAGUUUAGAUUUUUGGAAUAUCUACUGUUGGCUUCACUGAAGGCAAACAUUUUGAAUAACUUCUAGGCGAAGCCUCGUGCCGGCGCUCGAGAAGCAUAGCACACACUCUCUGCCCUCAGAGGCAAUCUGUCAUGAGAUGCCAUUGGCUCUGUGUUAAAAUAAAUGCGGAAUCUGGCCACUCCUCGCCACCUCUAUUGCUGCCAGCUGGUCGGAGCCACCCU
rnacentral:lncRNA from 1 species